rnacentral:rRNA from 1 species
AGCGUGGAGACAGGUGGUGCAUGGCUGUCGUCAGCUCGUGUCGUGAGAUGUUGGGUUAAGUCCCGCAACGAGCGCAACCCUCACCCCUAGUUGCCACCGGGUUAAGCCGAGCACUCAAGGGGAACUGCCAGCGUCAAGCUGGAGGAAGGCGGGGAUGACGUCAAGUCAUCAUGCCCCUUACGCCCUGGGCUACACACGUGCUACAAUGGCCAGUACAAAGGGACGCGAGACUGCGAAGUGGAGCUAAUCCCAAAAAGCUGGUCUAAGUUCAGAUUGCAGUCUGCAACUCGUCUGCAUGAAGGAGGAAUCGCUAGUAAUCGCGUAUCAGCCCGGCGCGGUGAAUACGUUCCCGGGCCUUGUACACACCGCCCGUCACACCACGAAAGCUGUCUGUACUCGAAGUCGCUGAG